rnacentral:lncRNA from 1 species
CUCUGAACGUGGCCGUGGGUACGGUGUGGUCCCUGUGUCCCCAGGGAUGAGCUCAGGGUGUAGUCGGCCACCCUGGGCCUGAUCCAGAGAGUGCUGGCAUCAGCUGGGGCUUCUGCUGAUGUCGCUGCCUUUGGCUUUUGGUCUGUGCCACUAACUGGUACCACUGAAACUUUUUCUCCCCCUCCCUCCACGUAGAGUAGCGUGUUUUCACACCCGGCGAGCGCUUCGGCAGAGAUGUGAUAUGCAGGAGAAGCCAGGAAGCAUUUGCUAGGUGGAAUUCAGAGACGCUCUGUGCUAGAGAUCAGCAGCGUCUUUGAGACCGUUCUUAGAGGUCCUGGCAAGCAAACUUUAUUCCAGAGCUUCGAAAGGUAUGGCCAGGCUGGGAGCGCCUAACGUCGUGCCACUGAGGACGCGCGUCAGCGCCGGCCGUGCUGAGGCACAGCGGUGUUCAAAUCUCUCCUGAGAACAUUUUUUCUGAGUGACUCCAGCUUCCAGACACAUUUGCCAUGAGAAGGGUUCCAAUCCUUUCCUGUAUUUGCCCUGAGUCAUGAAUGGAUAUGUGUGAUGCCUGCAAGUAAAACUGGACAAAGAGAAGAGGAGAUUUCCUUGCUUGGAGCCAGGACUAGCAUGAAAUGCUUUUUGCUCCUGUGGGAAUCAACACUCCGGCGGAGAAAUAUGGUUUCAGUAAAUCCAUGGUGUUUUCUUCUUAAUAGAGGAGCUAAGUAAAAUGAACUCCUCAAAAAUCAAUAUUCAAAGCAAUCUUAGUGAGCAUGUGCUGAGAAAACAACUUUUGGGGCACAUUUAAAGGAAUAGAUGUAGUAAACGAGUAAAUUUGCCCCGUGGUUAAAUGCUGCAGUGCUUUGUGUGAAUACUAAACAGGAACAUGUCCCAUCAAGUACAGUUUCUCCAUAAUUUAUUAGCAUAAUAUGUUUGUUUUAAAUGCAUGGGAAUGUAAACAUAUAUAUAAUGGAAUGAUCAUGCCUUUUAGCAGAAAAAACUGUUCAAAACUAUUAGUGCCAUUAGCUUAGUUUGGGGAAAAGUUAUUUCAUGAUAUGGAUGAUUUCUUUCCAAACAUCAACUCUCAUAAGGAUAAGGUUGCAAAUCCAGAUCCAGAGAAAGGCAUGGGAGAAAGUAUCACGGGUGACUUGAAUGCAAGACUCCAAAAAUCUCUUAUUUGUGAUUAAAGCUGUGGCUGGGCCUCUUGUCCUUGCUUACUUUUAAGCAUUUGCUGCUGCUGGCCUCUCCAGGUAGGGCCUUGAGGGGUGGAAAAGCUGGAUUUGCCUUACCUCAGAGUAGAAAAUAGCUCAGCUUUAUUGGGAACCUGGUUCUUGCCCAUGGGGAGAGAGAGGAGGGAAGGGCAGUGGCAGUGGGGAGCUGUGGUUUCAUUCUGAUGUAGAACAUCAUCCCCAGAAAAAUGGUGUUCUGGGCCAUGCCUCCUCCCACGGCAGGGGAAAACAGAUGAAAAGCAAUGAAGCACACAAUUACAUAAUGAAAAACAAUAAAGUGCGUUUUCUAAUAUGUACUACUAGUGAC